rnacentral:rRNA from 1 species
GAGUUUGAUCCUGGCUCAGAGUGAACGCUGGCGGCAUGGUUAAGACAUGCAAGUCGAACGAAAAGCAAAUCUUCGGAUUUGUAGAAAGUGGCGAACGGGUGCGUAACACGUGAGCAACCUGCCCUAAAGUGCGGAACAGCCUGUCGAAAGAUGGAUUAAUGCCGCAUGUGGCUCUUCUUCGCAUGGAGAAGUAGCUAAAGCUUGUAAUGGCGCUUUAGGAUGGGCUCGCGGCCUAUCAGCUUGUUGGUAAGGUAACGGCUUACCAAGGCUAAGACGGGUAGCUGGUCUGAGAGGAUGAUCAGCCACACCGGGACUGAGACACGGCCCGGACACCUACGGGUGGCAGCAGUUUCGAAUCAUUCACAAUGGGCGAAAGCCUGAUGAUGCAAUGCCGCGUGGAGGAUGAAGGCCUUAGGGUCGUAAACUCCUGUCAUUGGGGAACAACAAGUAGGUUCAUAGCCUAUCAUGAGUUAACCCAAAGAGGAAGAGGUGGCUAACUCCGUGCCAGCAGCCGCGGUAAUACGGAGACCUCGAGCGUUACUCGGAUUCACUGGGCGUAAAGGGUGAGUAGGUGGCCAAGUAUGUCAGGUGUGAAAUCCCGAGGCUCAACCUCGGAACUGCAUCUGAUACUGCCGUGCUAGAGUAAUGGAGGGGUAGCUGGAAUUCUCGGUGUAGCAGUGAAAUGCGUAGAUAUCGAGAGGAACACUCGUGGCGAAAGCGAGCUACUGGACAUUUACUGACGCUGARGCUCGAARGCUAGGGGAGCGAAAGGGAUUAGAUACCCCUGUAGUCCUAGCAGUAAACGGUGCACGCUUGGUGUGAGGGGAUUCGACCCCCCUUGUGCCGGAGCUAACGCGUUGAGCGUGCCGCCUGGGAAGUACGGUCGCAAGACUAAAACUCAAAGAAAUUGACGGGGACCCGCACAAGCGGUGGAGUAUGUGGCUUAAUUCGAUGCAACGCGAAGAACCUUACCUAGGCUUGACAUGCAUCUCUAAGCACGUGAAAGCGUGUGACCCUUCGGGGGAUUUGCACAGGUGCUGCAUGGCCGUCGUCAGCUCGUGUCGUGAGAUGUUGGGUUAAGUCCCGCAACGAGCGCAACCCUUGUGAUUAGUUGCCAGCACGUAAUGGUGGGAACUCUAGUCAGACUGCCCAGAUCAACUGGGAGGAAGGUGGGGACGACGUCAGGUCAGUAUGGCCCUUACGCCUAGGGCUGCACACGUACUACAAUGCUCAGUACAAUUAGAACCGAUACCGCGAGGUGGAGGAAAUCUGUAAAACUGGGCUCAGUUCGGAUUGGAGGCUGCAACUCGCCUCCAUGAAGUUGGAAUCGCUAGUAAUGGGGCAUCAUCUACGGCCCCGUGAAUACGUUCCCGGGUCUUGUACACACCGCCCGUCACAUCAUGGAAGCCGGUAGCACCCGAAGUAUUGUUCAAUCAAUCCUAAGGUGAAGCUGGUAACUGGGAUGAAGUCGUAACAAGGUAGCCGUAGGGGAACCUGCGGCUGGAUCACCUCCUUUCU